rnacentral:lncRNA from 1 species
CAUGUUUCUGUAGUACCUGCAUCAGAGGCAGAGCUUCUCUGUACUUGGUUUCUGAAGGAUCUGGAAGAAAUUACAGGAGUGACAGUUGUGAGAGGGACGUACUCCAGAUUGGCGGGGCUGGUUUGUGCUUUGUUACCACAUUGCCUCCUCCUAGCAGAAUGGAUGUGCUGGUGGCAUUCCCGGAUUUCUCGAGCUCUCAUGCUAACUCUGAGUCAGCUUUGACCUGGCUGGGUGCCCACCUGCAUAAUUCCAGAUGUGACCAUGGAGAGUGCACAGGGCAAACAACCCUAGGGAAGAAGGUCUUGCUGGCUUGAUGUCUAAAAACAAAAUAAAAAUCAAGUAAAAUUCCUCGAGUCUAAGUCU